GGCAAGAAUUUGUUAAUUCUGAGAUUAUCUUUGAUGCAGAUGGCCAAAUUCUGACAUCACAAGAAUGUGUCAUGAUAAUGACAAUAAUUGAACAAAAAAAAUUCCAUCCACUGCAAACACCUCAUUAAUGCAUUACUCGAAGGAAAGGGAACCCUACUGAUUAAGCUCCUGAGUCCUUUUGACGGAGAAAUUGACAUUGAUGUAAACCAUUAAUAAUGUUUUCCAAGAUAUUCAUCAAAUUUCCAUUUCUUUAUCCAACCCAUCCCUCAGAUGUCUCUCUCUUUAGGAUGCUACUGCAGAUGAGUACCUAUUGGAUUUACACUUGCUUCGUAAAUAGACUUGGGAUUAUUCUCUUUCAAAUUAGCCUUCCCAGUGAGACUCCAUCUUGAUCAGCUUAUUGGACGGGGUAUAUGACUAAAGUUGUAUGGGACGAGGUAUAAACUGGCAAUGCAGCAAGGGUUGUCUUUAGCAGCAAAUCUUGAUCAGCCAAAAUAGCAAAAUGUUUUCUUGCACCCUCUGGUUCUGUGCAUCCUCUCCUUAUCAAACAGUAAGCAUCACUCUGCAUCUACACUAAAGUUGAAUCUCUUUCUGCUAAAAAUUCAAGUUCAGAGUUAAGACAUCUACUUUUAUGCACCAUUGAACUUACUCUAAAGGGCUUUACUUGAUGUCUUGCUGGAAACUUAUUGUUCAACACAUUUAAAUCUGCAUUGCUGUCAAGACUUGUUUAAAUUCGUAAUUUGUCCUUCAUAUUAUGAUGCAGUUCUAGUCCCUACUGGACAAGACAUUUGUUACUAGCAUAGCUGAUGAUUCUUAUCUCGAAAUUUGCAUUGAUCUUUUUCAACUUCAAAAUGCCAACUACGGAAUGAAGUAAUGAUCCAUGCAUGGAACAUUAUAUGCUGUUUCUCAAUCUUUUUAAGAUAUCAGCGUGAAUGCAUAAGUUUCUUAAUUGAACAGACUAAAGUACGCAAGUGAGGUUCUUCUUUUCUCAUCUGUCAUCUACAUCUGCCAUUUAUGUUCUAAUUCAUGUGGAUUGAUUCAACAAGGUUGCAAAUUAAAACAUACAGGGAACUGCCUAGGAAAAAUAAGCAAGUGAACAUCUAUACGAAAUAUUUGAGAGCUUGAACAAGAGAAGCGAGGAACUGAUAUACCUGGCAUUAAAUGAAACUGCUAUACCAUACAUGAUGGAGAGAACUCAUACCGCCAAGGGCAAAACAGCUCAAUGGAGAACGGAGAUACCUUGUCAAGGCUCUAAGCGUGUUACACAUUUUAUUAUCACAAAAUAGUUGUCAUCAGCGGAAAAUGUGUACAGAACAUGGAUAUGCUUAUACUUACAAACUCAAAUUAUUAAGAAAAAGCCAGAACAACAAAGUCAUAGCAAUUUUGGCACCCAUGCCUGCUCCUGCAUUACUUAGCCAGUAACGAAUCAUCGAGCUGGGACCUUUAUCCAACCAUUAGCAAAAGCAAUGGCCAAGAUUACAAAGGGUGUCGACAUACCAAAUAUGAUAAUGUAAGGUAGAGGCGUCUUCAUGGGAUUCUCCCCUUCCCUUCUCCUGCUGUCUGCCAAUAC
rnacentral:lncRNA from 1 species